GAUGAACGCUAGCUACAGGCUUAACACAUGCAAGUCGAGGGGCAGCAUGAAAGUUUGCUUGCAAACUUUUGAUGGCGACCGGCGCACGGGUGAGUAACACGUAUCCAACCUGCCUCAUACUCGGGGAUAGCCUUUCGAAAGAAAGAUUAAUACCCGAUGUCAUAGUCCUACCGCAUGAUGGGAUUAUUAAAGAAUUUCGGUAUGGGAUGGGGAUGCGUUCCAUUAGUUAGUUGGCGGGGUAACGGCCCACCAAGACAACGAUGGAUAGGGGUUCUGAGAGGAAGGUCGGCCACAUUGGAACUGAGACACGGUCCAA
rnacentral:rRNA from 1 species